AAUGAACGCUGGCGGCGUGCCUAAUACAUGCAAGUCGAGCGAACAGACGAGGAGCUUGCUCCUCUGACGUUAGCGGCGGACGGGUGAGUAACACGUGGAUAACCUACCUAUAAGACUGGGAUAACUUCGGGAAACCGGAGAUAAUACCGGAUAAUAUAUUGAACCGCAUGGAUCAAUAGUGAAAGACGGCUUUGCUGUCACUUAUAGAUGGAUCCGCGCCGCAUUAGCUAGUUGGUAAGGUAACGGCUUACCAAGGCAACGAUGCGUAGCCGACCUGAGAGGGUGAUCGGCCACACUGGAACUGAGACACGGUCCAGACUCCUACGGGAGGCAGCAGUAGGGAAUCUUCCGCAAUGGGCGAAAGCCUGACGGAGCAAUGCCGCGUGAGUGAUGAAGGUCUUCGGAUCGUAAAGCUCUGUUAUUAGGGAAGAACAAAUGUGUAAGUAACUAUGCACGUCUUGACGGUACCUAAUCAGAAAGCCACGGCUAACUACGUG
rnacentral:rRNA from 1 species